rnacentral:rRNA from 1 species
AUUAGAUUAAAAACCAAUGCCCUUCGGGGCUCUCUGGUGAUUCAUGAUAACUUCUCGAAUCGCAUGGCCUUGCGCCGGCGAUGGUUCAUUCAAAUUUCUUCCCUAUCAACUUUCGAUGUUUGGGUAUUGGCCAAACAUGGUUGCAACGGGUAACGGAGGGUUAGGGCUCGACCCCGGAGAAGGAGCCUGAGAAACGGCUACUACAUCCAAGGAAGGCAGCAGGCGCGCAAAUUACCCAAUCCCGACUCGGGGAGGUAGUGACAAUAAAUACUGAUACAGGGUUCUUUCGGAUCUUGUAAUUGGAAUGAGUACAAUUUAAAUCCCUUAACGAGGAACAAUUGGAGGGCAAGUCUGGUGCCAGCAGCCGCGGUAAUUCCAGCUCCAAUAGCGUAUAUUAAAGUUGUUGUGGUUAAAAAGUUCGUAGUUGAACCUUGGGCCUGGCUGGCCGGUCCGCCUCACCGCGUGUACUGGUCCGGCCGGGCCUUUCCCUCUGUGGAACCCUAUGCCCUUCACUGGG